UACCAGCACCCCGAGUGGUCGGGACGAUUAUUGGGCCUAAAGCAUCCGUAGCCGGUCCUACAAGUCUUCCGUUAAAUCCACCUGCUUAACAGAUGGGCUGCGGAAGAUACUAUAGGGCUAGGAGGCGGGAGAGGCAAGCGGUACUCAGUGGGUAGGGGUAAAAUCCUCUGAUCCAUUGAAGGCCACCAGUGGCGAAGGCGGCUUGCCAGAACGCGCUCGACGGUGAGGGAUGAAAGCUGGGGGAGCAAACCGG
rnacentral:rRNA from 1 species